rnacentral:rRNA from 1 species
GAUGAACGCUAGCUACAGGCUUAACACAUGCAAGUCGAGGGGCAGCAUGACCUAGCAAUAGGUUGAUGGCGACCGGCGCACGGGUGAGUAACACGUAUCCAACCUGCCGAUUAUUCCGGGAUAGCCUUUCGAAAGAAAGAUUAAUACUGGAUAGCAUAACGAGAAGGCAUCUUCUUGUUAUUAAAGAAUUUCGAUAAUCGAUGGGGAUGCGUUCCAUUAGUUUGUUGGCGGGGUAACGGCCCACCAAGACAUCGAUGGAUAGGGGUUCUGAGAGGAAGGUCCCCCACAUUGGAACUGAGACACGGUCCAAACUCCUACGGGAGGCAGCAGUGAGGAAUAUUGGUCAAUGGACGAGAGUCUGAACCAGCCAAGUAGCGUGAAGGAUGACUGCCCUAUGGGUUGUAAACUUCUUUUAUAUGGGAAUAAAGUGGGCCACGUGUGGCUUUUUGUAUGUACCAUACGAAUAAGGAUCGGCUAACUCCGU